GCGCUCGUAGCUCAGUUGGAUUAGAGCAAGGGGUUUCUAUCCCCUCGGUCGGGGGUUCGAGUCCCUCCGGGCGCGCCA
rnacentral:tRNA from 1 species